rnacentral:rRNA from 1 species
GACGAACGCUGGCGGCGUGCUUAACACAUGCAAGUCGAACGAUGAAGCUAGAGCUUGCUCUGGUGAAUUAGUGGCGAACGGGAGAGUAAAACGUGAGUAACCUGCCCCGAACUCUGGGAUAACUGCUGGAAACGGUAGCUAAUACUGGAGACGAACUACGAAGGCACCUUCUGUAGGUGGAAAGAAUUUCGGUUCGGGAUGGACUCGCGGCCUGUCAGAUUGUUGGGGAGGUAAUGGCUCACCAAGGCGACGACGGGUAGACGGCCUGAGAGGGUGACCAGCCACACUGGGACUGAGACACGGCCCAGACUCCUACGGGAGGCAGCAGUGGGGAAUAUUGCACAAUGGGCGCAAGCCUGAUGCAGCAACGCCGCGUGAGGGAUGACGGCCUUCGGGUUGUAAACCUCUUUUAGUAGGGAAGAAGCGAAAGUGACGGUACCUGCAGAAAAAGCACCGGCUAACUACGUGCCAGCCGCCGCGGUAA